rnacentral:lncRNA from 1 species
GAACAAUUUGGAAUCAUAUCUUUUAUCAAACAUUAAUAAAAGUAGUUCUAACAAAUAAUAAAAAUAGGACUAAUUGAAAGUUAUGACGUGACUCACAAUUGAGUCUAAAUUUAAAAAUAAUAAUAAUCAACCGUUAAUAAAUAUUCUAGUGUUUCUAAAAAUUAAAGUACUUCAUGAUGGAGAUCCAUUGGUCCAAUAUGCAUCCAUCCACCGCCGUCCAGCAUACUAAUUUCUACCUGAAAAUUGUAAAUAGAGAGGGAUGAGUAUAACGAAUUAUACUCAAUGAGGUGCUUGCUACUCCACAUUCAAAUCAAACGUGAAAUUAUGCAUAAAUUCUCUUACCAACAUAACAUGAGAAUUAUCACACCAUGACAAAUGAUAAUUCAAGCAAGCGCUGCAAAUAACGUGAAGGCUAAAUUGUGCCUUAAACUGUAUCAUAAUUUCUCCCAAAGGAGCUCUGAACUGAAGUAAUUAAAUCCAUACAUAACAACGUAUUUGAAAAGAUGUGGACAAACCACUAAUAGCACUGAGCAUCUCACCUUUUGAAGAUGAACGUGGAAAACAAAAUUGCUGAAAACGUGAUUCUCUAUUGAAAUUCCAAAUCCUUAAAAAAGCCUUAAUAAUAUGGAGAAAUAUUUUUAAAGAGGAGGAGAGAAUAAAGACUUGUAGAAGAAGAAUGAGGAAUUAAU